GUGCAUUCUGUGAUCCCUGGAUUCCUUGGCCAUAGAGAGGACCAGGGCUGGAGAACCAGAGUGGGACCUCUGGGGCAGGAGCCCAGAGCAGGGACCCCUCUUGCCAGGCCCUGUCUACUUACUUGAAUGGAAUUAUGAACAUUUCCAGAAUACAGGAGAUGGUUAUCAAGUACUGCCUGGCUAAGGUUGAGUGUGGUCACUCAUUUCACACACAUUUCUGAUCAUCUAUUGUGUAUAGUUUAAGCUUCUUAAAGACAAAGAUAUGGUGACAUGCUUGGAAUCUUCAAAAGGGAUUAACUUAAUGCCUUCAUAGAGUCAGUGCUCAUCAAAUGUUUGCCUAAUGAAUGAAUAGCAAAAGACAAGGUGGGGAUACAGUUAACAGUGCAAUUUCAAGAGCCUGACUCUCUGAGUUUAAAGUUUGGCUCUGCUACUUAAGUGGAUGGUCUUGGGCAAGCUACUUAACCUCUUUAUGCCUCAACUGCAUCGUCUGUAAAUUGGAAUAAUAAAUUGUGUCAGUAUGUGUAAAGGGCCUCAAAGAGUGCCUGGCACAUAGAAACACUCCAUGAAUGUUGCUAUCACAACACUUUUGGGGCAACAAGCAACAAUGUCAUCUCUCUUCCUUAAGAGGGAAAUCCCUGAAAUUAUUAUGUCUUUUCACAUGAGAUAAUGUUUGUGAAUUUGCUUAGCACACUGCAGAAGUUUGGUAAAUAGGUAGGUUUUUUUCUUUUCUUUCCUUUCUUUUUCCUUCCGUUAUGAUGUUACUGCUAACAACCUUCCUGCAAAUAAAUUUUUUUACCCCCAUUUCUAAGUAAUCAUCAUCGACAGAGCAGUUAGAUUUUUUCAUGGAAUCUCUUUCUUGGCAUUACGUAACACCAUUGAUUCAGAGAAAUUCAGAAGCCAGAAAAAGUUAAAGAGCAGCCAAUCCAGUCCUUUUAUUUUACCAACUAGGAAAUCGUAGCUCAGAAAGCUGUAAAAUUGCCCAAGGUCACACAGGAAAUGUUAUCUCUGGCAGAGCUGAAGUUUCAGCCAGAGCUGGGGGCCUGUGGCUGCUGGCUCCGUGCUCUUUUAAUUACAGCUCUUUAGUUGGGAUUGAAUUUUCUCCUAAACCUUCAGGAAUAAAUGUCAUAAAUUAAAUGUAAAUAUGUAAAAUGUAAUACAUUAUCUUAAACCCUCUGUUCAGAAUCUGUAGCUUGACUGGCAUGAAUUGGUUAUCUUUUUCCAUCAAGUUUGAAAGCAACAAAAAAAGAAUUCUCCUAAGGAGAAAUGCUGCAACAGGGCAUUGGAAAGCCUGAGCCAAAGCCAUCCAGAGCAAUGAAAUAAAUUACACCUGUAAAAACUACUGCAGAGUGGUAUUUGCUAUAUGAUGGGAUUCUCAAAAUAAAUUCUCUCUGGCUUUAAGAACCCCUGUGACUGGUACCACCUCUGGCUCAUUUCUAUGGAAACUGAAGCAAAGGCCUGUAGUGCUUCUCCCUCCAAGGUCUCAUUUCUGUGGCUUGGCAUCACUGGACUCUACCCGACUAUUGUGAGCUGUAGAAAACAGACCUUCAGUAAGGCGGACAAUCAGGACAGAACAGAAGGGUUAGCAGGAACCUAAACCUGCCUUUAGAAUCAGCCAUCUGAAAAGGAGUAAAGAUAGAUUCACUGCCUUACAAGUUUCCAUCUCUUUCCAAGUGAAAAAGUAGCAUAAUUGAAGAACAACAGUAGCAAUAAUUCUGGCCAACAGGGUACAGAUCCUAGGUAAAUCUCUUUGGUCUUGAAUGCCAAAUCUCAGCAAGUUUCCCCACUGCUACAGAUUCAGUGAACAUACCAGAACCAGAGCUCCGUGCCCACCCUCUGAAGGAUUUUAAAGCAGUUUCCACAGAGCACCCCUCCAGGUCCUCGAUCUUGGCUAGUUGACACAUCCUCAUUGAUCCACAAAUUGUCAUUUAGAUGUAAAGGAAGAGGGCUCAAAGUUAGCACCCAAAAGCACAAGAUCCAAUUUCGUUCCCCACAUCUGGAGAAAAAAAUCAGAAAAUAUCAUUUGACAUGAGCUCAUUCUUGCAUCUGUUGCCUUGAAGAAUGACUGCUUUCCCCAGGGCAUGAAUGGUACACCUGGAAUCCAGGUGAUGUGGACAGAUCGGGUAAACAUCAUUACAGAGUAUAAACAAGAAAGGAAAGCAAAUAUUACAACAGCAAGAAGAUAAGUGAGUUUUUUAUUUGGUUUAAGAGGUUAGAAAAGGUGAAAAAGGGAAUGUUGCAGAAAAACAACAAAAGGAAGUAAUUGAAUAUGUUACAACAAAACAUUUAUAUAGAAAAUGAAGUUUAUAUGUGGAAUUAAACACUGUAGAAUUAAUUCACCACUAACCCUAAAAUAAAUUGUUCUCAUGAGAAAAGAGGCUGGCUCCUUUAGGUUAAUUCUAGAGAGAUUCAGCAAGUUCUUUCACUGAUUGCCAAACUUAAGAGUCUAUCUCAGUCCCUGGAUUAAUGUCCUGUGGCACUUUAUCAUACCCCAAAUUAAAACACAGGACAAAGCAAAUUUUUUCGGGUGUUUCCCAGUUUCUGGUUUUACUACACUUCCUUAUGGUGUAGUACUAGCUCAUUGAUCAGAUGUAAUGAAUAACUGAUUUGUUCUCUCACAUGAGAAUAUGACCAACAUUCUACUGGAAAUGGCCUGGAGAGGAAAACCCGGUGAUGAUGAGGUCAUGGACCUAAUUUUUAAAUGACAGAAUAACUUCAAAUUGUAGAUUGUAAUGCAAGAAAAGGGGGACUGAAUAAGAGGUGAGAAUAGAUCCCAAAAGGCAUAUUCCCACAGGACUAAUUCCAAAGAGAAUUCUGAAAACCCAGGGAAGGUUUCAAUAAAAACAUCCACAUAGCAUUACACCUUCUUAAAGGCCUUUGGAACCAUCGUUAUCAACCUCUAAUGUUGCUCAGGCCUCUUAGUAAUACUGUCCUGUGCACUUUAUUUUCACCAGAACAAAGAAAGCUUGAGUAAUUUGCCAAAGAUUACUAUACAUGUCAGAAAGAGAAAGACUGGGGUGUAGACCUCUUAGUCCAGAAACAUAGAAUUUUACUUCCCUUCAGAAAAAAAGGAAAAGCAGAUUGUAGCUUCUUUCUGAACUUGAAGAGAGAGCAUUUUCUGUAGAUUUGAAUAGUGCAUUUUUACAGUGUUUACUAAGACCUAUGGUUCCAAUUCCAUGCACCAGUUCUGAUUGUACCUUCACCUUUAACUCAUGAAGAUUUUGACAAUGUGUGUCUUAGUCCAUUCCUGCUACUGUAACAGCAUACCUUAGACUAGGUAAUUUAUAAACAACAGAAAUUCAUUUCUCACAGUCCUGGAGGCUGGGAAGUCCAAGAUCAAGGUGCCAGCAGACUUGGUGUCUGGUGAGGGCUGCUCUUUGCUUCCAAGAUGGCACCUUCUUUCUGCAUCUUCAAAUGGUGGGAAGACAAAAGGGAUGAACACUGUGUCCUCACAAGGCAGAAGAGAUGGAAGGGCUAGGUAGCUCCCUUCAAUCUCUUUUAUAAGAGCUCUAAUCCCACUCACGAGGGCUCCACCUUCACUUUCCAAAAGGCCGCAGCUGUUGAUACUAUCACAUUGAGGAUUAAGUUUUAAACUUGAAUUUUGAGAAAACACACACAUUCAGACCACAGCUGUACAUGAAUCUGAAGAGCAGUGUGAGAAUCAGCAAUCACCUGUAAAAAUACAAUCCGAUGAAAAGAGAGGAACUGAAAUAGAUAGAAUAGAUUUUGGCUGAUGCUUUUGGCAGAAAAUUGCUGGUGCUGGUGUACGAUGCCAGGAGCCUUGGAGUGCAGGGCUUGGGUUUCUAAGGCAGAGCUGGAGGAGUGGAACAAAAUGUUCUCUUUAACCACUGACCAUGGCAUACAGCAUGGAGGAGAACUGUUUUUGGGCUCUUGAAGGUUCUCAGAGAUUUUCAUAUAGCACAAAGCAGUCCAGAUGACUGAGAUUCUUUCUCUGAGAGAAAAGAAAACACAUUCAGAACAUUUGUUUGCUCUUUGCUUAAUUCUACCACAGUUAACCUGGAUCUUCAAUCAUUAAAGAGACAUGAUAUGUCUUAUUCCUUUCCCUUGGCAAAGAGUUGCUUGUCUACCCAGGCAGAGCAGAAAAAAAAGUCUUUUUCAUAUUAUUCUACUGCUUCUUAGGAUGGGGCAGGUCAUUCGUUGUACUUGCGUGUAAAGUUAGGUCGCACCACAGCAAGGCUCAGGGGAGCAGAUGGUGACUUUUAUUCAUCAUUUCCCAAGAUGAGGGAAAGGGACUACAAUAGUUUACUCUCUCAAUGCUAUCUUGGUUGUUGCUAUUACGACAGAUGCUUCCAUCAGAGGAGAUACAGAUAUAGAAGAGAGAGGCUGAGACACCAGGAAAUCAGGCUGCCUCUCCAUCCUGCCCCCAUUGCAUUAAUGUGGAAAUGAGAUUCAGUUUGCUUUUUGCUGGACUUCAGUCAACAGAAGAGUAAUUGCCUUAUCCUAAAUGAAAAACAUGACUUCCUGAUUAUAGUAAAUAGGGAGACGGGGGUAACAUGAGCAGGACAAUCCGGUCUUUCACUGUAACUACCCAGCAAAACACUGCCUCUUGAGACAGCUGGGAGCCCAGGGGCUGGUGGAAAAGAAGCUGAGGCAGCCCGCAGGGCAUUUUGAAGGUGAAAGUUGUCCCUACACACGAAGCUCCUGGUACACUGCCCAUUAGGGUGGGCUGAUCUGCUUCUGCCUGAAUUUGAGGGGUGAACUUACGUGCUCGCUGACAAUGUCCUUAAAGUCCUGGCAUCCUCAGAGCAAGACAAAAAGAGUGGGGGCAAGCGAAGGUAACCCCCAGUGGGGCUCUGGAAGUAUGGAGGCCCCUCUCCUUUCCUCCUUCCUUCCACCUCUGGCCAGCGAGGCAGAACUCACAGGCAACACCUGGUUUCUGCACAGAUGCAGCUGCAUUUUGAACCUAGAGGAAAGCAUGGACAGCGACUGGGGGGCUUGGUGGGGGGUGUCGCUCCCUAGAAGGGCACCUUUUCUGAUAUAUGGGUCAGAUGGGCCUUGGUGCACACAGGCAGGCUUCCCAGGAUGGGGACAUUGACAAGGAGGCAACAGUCCUCUCUCCUCCACUCCAGUGACUAAUAAAAGCUAACAUUUAUGUAGCA
rnacentral:lncRNA from 1 species